rnacentral:rRNA from 1 species
AGGGUAAAGGCAGGCAGAUCCAAUUUUCUGCCACCGAAUACAUUAGCAUGGGAUAAUGGAAUAGGACCCUGUCCUCCUAUUUUCAGUUGGUUUUGGCAGCGCGAGGACUAGGGUAAUGAUUAAUAGGGAUAGUUGGGGGCAUUAAUAUUUAAUUGUCAGAGGUGAAAUUCUUGGAUUUAUGAAAGAUUAACUUCUGCGAAAGCAUCUGCCAAGGAUGUUUUCAUUAAUCAAGAACGAAAGUUAGGGGAUCGAAGACGAUCAGAUACCGUCGUAGUCUUAACCAUAAACGAUGCCGACCAGCGAUUAGGAGACGUUGAAUACAAAACACCACCAUCGGCGCGGUCGUCCUUGGCGUGUCUCGGCUUCACGGCCGGGGCGCGCGAGGGCGGUUUAGCCCGGUGGCACCGGUGAAUGACUCCCUAGAGCUUUUGUGAGAA